GGACGGUGACGAUUUCGUCAGUGAAAGGUCUCGUUCGUCGUAACGGUUGUUUUCAACAGCCUUGCCGACCAUCCUGAUAUAUCACCACCCAUAAACCGAGUCC
rfam:Corchorus capsularis cultivar CVL-1 contig09144, whole genome shotgun sequence.